GUGCUUCCUUCAGCAGCACAUAUACUAAAAAAUUGAAUGGUACAGAGAUUAGCAUGGCCCCUGCAUGAGGAUGACAUACAAAUUCAUGAAGCGUUUCUUUUUUUU